CGUCGCCUACGGGGCGCAGCAGUGAGGAAUAUUGGUCAAUGGCCGAGAGGCUGAACCAGCCAAGUCGCGUGAGGGAUGACGGCCCUACGGGUUGUAAACCUCUUUUGUCGGAGAACAAAACCCGGGACGUGUCCCGGACUGCGUGUAUCCUAAGAAAAAGCAUCGGCUAACUCCGUGCCAGCAGCCGCGGUAAUACGGAGGAUGCGAGCGUUAUCCGGAUUUAUUGGGUUUAAAGGGUGCGUAGGCGGUCCUUUAAGUCAGCGGUAAAAUUCCGUGGCUCAACCCUGUCGAUCCGUU
rnacentral:rRNA from 1 species